rnacentral:rRNA from 1 species
UACGAAGGGGGCUAGCGUUGCUCGGAAUCACUGGGCGUAAAGCGCACGUAGGCGGAUCCUUAAGUCGGGGGUGAAAUCCUGGAGCUCAACUCCAGAACUGCCUUCGAUACUGAGGAUCUCGAGUCCGGGAGAGGUGAGUGGAACUGCGAGUGUAGAGGUGAAAUUCGUAGAUAUUCGCAAGAACACCAGUGGCGAAGGCGGCUCACUGGCCCGAUACUGACGCUGAGGCACGAAAGCGUGGGGAGCAAACAGGG